AACGGAAACCAUCCACUUGAUUGUUAAUUGACCAAGAAAGUCAAAAUUGAUCAAGAAAGUCAAAAUUUUAUCAAUUUUGACCAAAUUAAAAAGUACAAAUUAGUAACUUUAUAAUUAACAUAUUAAAAAAUUUUAAAAACUGAAAAACAAGAAAAGAAAUAAAAAAGGGUUAUCUAUUUCUCUCACCUCCACUCCACCCCUAUAAAAUCAGCCACAGCACGUUGACCAUUGCCUACACCAUCGCCGGCGGAGCCUCCCAACGACGCCACCAGCAUCUUCUCCACAUUUGAUGACAAUGUCGUAUUAUUGCUAAAACUUGAUGAAGAAGAUGAAAUCGGUACAGACAAGUAGCGAGUGACUUCUCGUGCUUUUACCCUGCGAAAAGCUCCAUUUUCAAGCUUAGAAGAUAGUAAUGGCGUCCGCUUGGAAAUACAAAUCUUUUGCCCAUCCGACACUUUUUCGUUCCCAAAUCAGUUUACAGAAAUGGUAGAGGGGUUUUUCGAUUUUGGGUGUAGGUUUUACGGUGCUGGUGGCGAUUAGUUUUGGUUUGAUGGUGGUGGCGGCGAUUUACUGUACAGUUUGUGUGAGACGGGUUGUUGUGGCUGUCCGACAGGCGGUGGUGUCGACAUUGCUGGGUUUGAUAUUUAUGUGACAUUAUUGGGAUUGUGUUUUGAAUCAAAGGCAAUUGAAUGGAUAUAUUUGUGGGAUUUGUUGAUUUCGACAAUUUUUUUGUUACAAUGAACUUCUGUGUUCUGGUUCUUGCAAUUGAAAACUUCAGUUAUGGUGGCGGUGAUGGUGGCGUUCUGUGUUCUGGUUUUGAGAUGUGAGAGGAUACAGAUUGAUUAGAAUUUGGGGUUUACUUGGUUUGCUGAGGGCAUUUCUUGGUUUUUCCUGUGCAAGGUGCCGCCAUUGGUGGUGAGGUGAGUUGUGGUGGCGAUGGCGACAUUGUGGUCGAAGGUGACUG
rnacentral:lncRNA from 1 species